AGGCAAGAGAGAAUGAGCUUGUGCAGGGCAAUUCCCGUUUUCAAAACCAUCAGAUCUCGUGAGACUUAUGCACUAUCAUGAGAACAGCAGGGGAGAAAACGGUCCCCGUUAUUCAAUUACUUCCCACCAGGUUCCUCCCAUGACACAUGGGAAUUGUGGGAGUUACAGUUCAAGAUGAGAUUUGGGUGGGGACACAGCCAAACCAUAUCACCCCAGGAGAGUGGAGAUCAGUCAUGAGAUUCCACAGUUGCUGUGGAAGCAGAAUCUAUAGAACACAGCAGCUCAACAAUCAACAGGGCUUUGAAGUGGAAAGGGAGUGGGUGGUGGGGGGGUGUGUGGCUUUAGGGUCUCUGGCUUAGGAAGCUGAGUCUCCGUAGUGCCAUUCAUACAGAUGGAAUGAGGGAAGAAGCAGUUUCAUGGGAAAGUAGUAAAUUUGAUUGAGUAACAAGAGCUUGGGGGAUCCAGAAGAGAGCUAGGUUUGCAGUUCAGGAGUCCAGGAGAGAGUCAGACUGAAAACAUAAGCCCAUGGAUAGUCAGUCAUUGAAGCCAUGGGAAUGAAGAUCACCUAUGGGAAACACAGAUAGAAGCGAAUGUUACCACAAUGAAGUGUGGUCUAUACAAUUAAUUGCUGCAAAGAGGUCAGCACCACCUCUCAGCAUAUAUUUGCUAUGUGGUAGCAGAAUCCUUGGUGAAUGAGCAUCGAAAGGCAUGUUUUGAUCAGGCUGGGAAAUGAGGAGAGAAUGCGAAGAUCUGAAAGGAUCCCCUGUCUGGAAUAAAUCUUGGUAAAAGAUGCUACGAAAGCUGGACCUAGGACAGGAGGAUAUGAAGAGCAAAGGGAGACAGGCAGAAUGAGAAUAUGGUAAUAGCAGAGGUACCAAAGCGUUGUGUAGGGGAAUAAAGUCCAGCAAAGUGGGGAGGAGCAGAAAAGAAGAACCCACGUCCUAGGCCAGCCUACACAGCACUCCUGAGCAGGGGAGAUCUGGUAAUUACGCUAUUGAUUUUACACAUCUGGAUAAAGGAAAUGCCAGUGAUAGGCUGCUGACAACCACCUUUCUCUACUACGCUCCUUAUGUGCAUAUCCAACCACUUAUUUGAAACCUCUACUCUUGAUUUCUCAAGAGUAGAAUUCUUUCCCAAGCCUCCCCAUUUCAG
rnacentral:lncRNA from 1 species